rnacentral:tRNA from 1 species
GGGAAUGUAGCUCAGUGGUAGAGCACUUGUUUACAAUGCAUGAGGCCCUGGCUUCAGUCUGUAAUACCA